AGUGAACGCUGGCGGUAGGCCUAACACAUGCAAGUCGAACGGCAGCACAGUAAGAGCUUGCUCUUACGGGUGGCGAGUGGCGGACGAGUGAGGAAUACAUCGGAAUCUACUUUUUCGUGGGGGAUAACGUAGGGAAACUUACGCUAAUACCGCAUACGACCUACGGGUGAAAGCAGGGGAUCUUCGGACCUUGCGCGAUUGAAUGAGCCGAUGUCGGAUUAGCUAGUUGGCGGGGUAAAGGCCCACCAAGGCGACGAUCCGUAGCUGGUCUGAGAGGAUGAUCAGCCACACUGGAACUGAGACACGGUCCAGACUCCUACGGGAGGCAGCAGUGGGGAAUAGUGGACAAUGGGCGCAAGCCUGAUCCAGCCAUACCGCGUGGGUGAAGAAGGCCUUCGGGUUGUAAAGCCCUUUUGUUGGGAAAGAAAAGCAGCAGGUUAAUACCCCGCUGUUCUGACGGUACCCAAAGAAUAAGCACCGGCUAACUUCGUG
rnacentral:rRNA from 1 species